rnacentral:lncRNA from 1 species
GUCUGUUUAGGAAAGAACAAAUAGUAAAUAAAAAAACAAAAUAAAAGAAAAAUUGAGAACGCAGAUGGGAUUCCCAGAACUCAAUCGUCCUCCUCCCAACUUUCGUUCUCCAAAACUCUCUAUCUCACACCUCUCUCAACCUUCGCCGUUACCAAACGGCGUUCCUCUCAAACACUCAUCUCUCUCAAUCUUCUUAAACU